rnacentral:rRNA from 1 species
GAUGAACGCUGGCGGCGUGCCUAAUACAUGCAAGUCGAGCGAACGGACGAGAAGCUUGCUUCUCUGAUGUUAGCGGCGGACGGGUGAGUAACACGUGGAUAACCUACCUAUAAGACUGGGAUAACUUCGGGAAACCGGAGCUAAUACCGGAUAAUAUUUUGAACCGCAUGGUUCAAAAGUGAAAGACGGUCUUGCUGUCACUUAUAGAUGGAUCCGCGCUGCAUUAGCUAGUUGGUAAGGUAACGGUUUACCAAGGCAACGAGGCGUAGCCGACCUGAGAGGGUGAUCGGCCACACUGGAACUGAGACACGGUCCAGACUCCUACGGGAGGCAGCAGUAGGGAAUCUUCCGCAAUGGGCGAAAGCCUGACGGAGCAACGCCGCGGGAGUGAUGAAGGUCUUCGGAUCGUAAAACUCUGUUAUUAGGGAAGAACAUAUGUGUAAGUAACUGUGCACAUCUUGACGGUACCUAAUCAGAAAGCCACGGCUAACUACGUG